AUUGAACGCUGGCGGCAGGCCUAACACAUGCAAGUCGAGCGGGGUUUUCGGACCUAGCGGCGGACGGGUGAGUAAUGCGUAGGAAGCUGCCCGAUAGAGGGGGAUACCAGUUGGAAACGACUGUUAAUACCGCAUAAUGUCUACGGACCAAAGUGUGGGACCUUCGGGCCACAUGCUAUCGGAUGCGCCUACGUGGGAUUAGCUAGUUGGUGAGGUAAUGGCUCACCAAGGCGACGAUCUCUAGCUGGUUUGAGAGGAUGAUCAGCCACACUGGAACUGAGACACGGUCCAGACUCCUACGGGAGGCAGCAGUGGGGAAUAUUGGACAAUGGGCGCAAGCCCGAUCCAGCCAUGCCGCGUGUGUGAAGAAGGCCUUCGCGUUGUAAAGCACUUUCAGCGAGGAGGAAGGGUGGUGUGUUAAUAGCACAUCAUUUUGACGUUACUCGCAGAAGAAGCACCGGCUAACUCUGUGCCAGCCGCCGCAGUAAUAC
rnacentral:rRNA from 1 species